GUGGGGGCAGGGUUUACAAGGGUGAGAGGUCACAAGUCUCUCUUGGGUUGCUGCUUUUACCGGCAAACAGAUCAAUGCAACCACGUUGCCGGAAUGAAAAGAAUACGCUACGACGCUCUUUAUUGCCAUCGUUUUUCCCCGUUUGUUUGGCUUGUUUACAAGAGGUCUUUUGGUGGCGAUUUACACCCUCGGAAGAUUUUGUCGCCGGCGCGUCCACCCCACCCCCACUAACAGGAAAAACCACUAUAAAGGUGCUCUCGCGAUUUCAUGCAUGAAAAAACGUUUUGUUUGUGCCAAAAAAGGGUCGCGCAGGUUGCAACAUCUGUGGCCAAGGCUGAGUGGAGUGGAGCUCGCGGCUCUGCACGAUGAACCAGGCUCUACUUUCCUUCUUUAACCACCCUCGUGCAACCAACUCAAGAAUUAUUGGACAUUGUCUUGCUUGCAAUGGAGCACACCAAUCUCUUCUCGCCACCUACGAUGAGCCGCUUGACCCCAAGGCCCUCCAGCUAAGGUGCAUCUAGUGUAGUAUAGUGUAAUACUUGAUAAUCUACUGCCCUAGUUGCUCCUUCUGGCUGGUGAGCUUUUUUUUAUGCUGACUCUCCGAGGAGUUCUCUGCAAGCAAUCUGUGGGAGGGAGGGACUACACUUUAACACUAUUAAUAUUUGUUAGAUAACUACAAAAUCAUAAACCCCGCUGUUUAACGCUUGAAAAGAAAGUGCUCAUGUGGUUCUUUCUGGCUAACAAAUCAUACUUUGUCUUCAUGCCAACAAUCAAUGGUGCAGAUAUAAUCCCAUUAUAUUACAUAGCCCGAUAAAGUGGAACCUCCACAAGCCAUUCCAGGACACCGGUGGCAAUUUAAUCCAUAGGAUUUGAACAUUUAAGUCUGUUCCAAGGUCGAUCGAGAAUUGCUGGACAUUUUGGCUUCAAAAUUCUUAAAUGAUUCAUUCACUUUUCUGAUUUUCUGCUAGACAUUCAUCAAUAAUAGGCAAUAAGCUAUCAAAUGCUUGAUUAGCUGUUUUAUUAAAAUGUGAAAAAUAGAAGAGAGGAACUUUGAAGUGUGUGUUCCCAAGUGAUUUAGGAGGAAUAUUUUUUUUACCUCGAGGGGUUUUUGUUCCCAUUGUAGUUGAGAAACACAUUAAAUCUCUUCCAUCUGUCAUGCUGUGCAUAUGUCCCGUCAUUGACUUGGCUGUUCCAAAGUGCUCACAGUGCAGGUAGUGUUCACUUAAACCUACUGCAGUUUGUGCACUUCAGGUGUUGCCAGUCACUUGGCCUUCCACCAUGCCUCGUCAAUCAGUAAUUGUGUGGACUUAUGGGCCGACGGCGAGUUUUGUUGGUUUGCUUUCAGCUUCUGUCACAUUUUGCUGUGCAAAUCCAUGCAAAGCUCUCCGUUUGUCACACAAAACCCACCGAAGAUGUCCCUAAAUCCUGAACGUUAUACAUUGUUCAUAAUGGCAAGGCCAAGCUAUUCGAUUCUCUCUGUUGCGCAGAACUUUAUGGGAGACUUAAAAACACUGCUGCUUUUAUCUUGUGGUUUUCAGGUGGAUGAUCUCGCAAUUCCAACACCUUACUAAAUGAAAGGAAUUGCACAGUAUCCAUCUGUCAUCCGCCAGAUGAUUAGCCCAUCCCUGAGUUUAUAAGGCUGCGGCAAUUUUUAUCUGAAGAGAUGGAUUGAAAUACAUUGCAGUAUGGUGGGCUGUUCGUGGUUUAAAUAUAAGCUCUUCUGUGUGGUGCAGAGGUUCAUCCGCUACUUGAAUGGGCUUUCACAGGGUACUCACAGGGCUUCUAAAGUUUAAAGUAAAGACUCUGAAAUGAAGUCACACUACUGAAAUGACUGAAUUGGUGGCUAAAGGGUUACAGUAUAUCUCCUGAGCUGCGACAAGCCGUUUGAGCGUUAAUUUGUUGUCGUUUGUUUAUCUUAAGGUCCACGCAUACUAGUAUGCUCUUUUUCCUCGCUAGCAACACAAUAUAGUGGACUGGUAGAAUGACUGAAUUUUAUUAGUAACAUUUAUUUCACUGCUAGAGCCACUUCUGGCCUACUAGUAUUAAAUCUUUUCAACAGAUCUGCACCAAGCCCAACUACUGUAGUAGCCUCUUGAGCCCUACCUGUAGCACCAAAUGCCUGUUAGUAGUUUUGACUUACUAAGGAAUGAACGUGGUUGUUCUACUUCUGAGGACGGGGUGUACUAGUACAGGGACCUUUGGCUGGACAGGGAUGAUGCCAAAAUGUCAAAUUUGAGGCUUGCAGUCUGUAUUUGGUAGGCCAUGUCCUUUUUAUGUGCCCCAUCAGAGCUAUAUGUGUAAAUGGACGUCUUAAAUGAAAUGUGUCGCGACAACCUCCAUUAGUGUAUACCACUUGUGUAAAACUCGAGGCGCGGGAGCCAUCUUCAGCCUGCCAUGUUGUUUGUGGCCCAAUGAAACAAAUAAAAUCUCAUGAUUCUUACAAA